rnacentral:rRNA from 1 species
GGACGAACGCUGGCGGCGUGCCUAACACAUGCAAGUCGAGCGGAGACAGUGAGUAGCUUGCUACGAACUGUUUUAGCGGCGGACGGGUGAGUAACGCGUGAGCAACCUUUCCCAGACAGGGGAAUAACACACCGAAAGGUGUACUAAUACCGCAUAAGACCACGGGAUCACAUGAUUCUGAGGUAAAAGAUUUAUCGGUUUGGGGUGGGCUCGCGUCCGAUUAGGUAGUUGGUGAGGUAACGGCCCACCAAGCCGACGAUCGGUAGCCGACCUGAGAGGGUGAUCGGCCACAUUGGGACUGAGACACGGCCCAAACUCCUACGGGAGGCAGCAGUGGGGAAUAUUGGGCAAUGGAGGAAACUCUGACCCAGCAACGCCGCGUGGAGGAAGAAGGUUUUCGGAUCGUAAACUCCUGUCCUUGGAGACGAGUAGAAGACGGUAUCCAAGGAGGAAGCCCCGGCUAACUACGUG